AACGAACGCUGGCGGCAUGCCUAACACAUGCAAGUCGAACGAGAUCUUCGGGUAUAGUGGCGCACGGGUGCGUAACGCGUGGGAAUCUGCCCUUUGGUUCGGAAUAACAGUUGGAAACGACUGCUAAUACCGGAUGAUGACGAAAGUCCAAAGAUUUAUCGCCAGAGGAUGAGCCCGCGUAGAAUUAGCUAGUUGGUGUGGUAAAGGCGCACCAAGGCGACGAUCCUUAGCUGGUCUGAGAGGAUGAUCAUCCACACUGGGACUGACAGACGGCGCAGAUUCCUACUGGAGUCAGCAGUGGGGAAUAGUGGACAGUGGGCGAGAGUCUGCUCCAGCAAUGCCGCGUGAGUGAUGAAGGCCUUAGGGUUGUAAAGCUCUUUUACCCGGGAUGAUAAUGACAGUACCGGGAGAAUAAGCUCCGGCUAACUCCGUGCCAGCAGCCGCCGUAA
rnacentral:rRNA from 1 species